rnacentral:rRNA from 1 species
GACGAACGCUGUUGGCGUGCUUAACACAUGCAAGUCGAACGGAAAGGCCCUGCUUUUGUGGGGUGCUCGAGUGGCGAACGGGUGAGUAACACGUGAGUAACCUGCCCUUGACUUUGGGAUAACUUCAGGAAACUGGGGCAAAUACCGGAUAGGAGCUCCUGCUGCAUGGUGGGGGUUGGAAAGUUUCGGCGGUUGGGGAUGGACUCGCGGCUUAUCAGCUUGUUGGUGGGGUAGUGGCUUACCAAGGCUUUGACGGGUAGCCGGCCUGAGAGGGUGACCGGCCACAUUGGGACUGAGAUACGGCCCAGACUCCUACGGGAGGCAGCAGUGGGGAAUAUUGCGCAAUGGGCGGAAGCCUGAUGCAGCAACGCCGCGUGCGGGAUGACGGCCUUCGGGUUGUAAACCGCUUUCGCCUGUGACGAAGCGUGAGUGACGGUAAUGGGUAAAGAAGCACCGGCUAACUACGUGCCAGCAGCCGCGGUGAUACGUAGGGUGCGAGCGUUGUCCGGAUUUAUUGGGCGUAAAGGGCUCGUAGGUGGUUGAUCGCGUCGGAAGUGUAAUCUUGGGACUUAACCCUGAGCGCGCUUUCGAUACGGGUUGACUUGAGGAAGGUAGGGGAGAAUGGAAUUCCUGGUGGAGCGGUGGAAUGCGCAGAUAUCAGGAGGAACACCAGUGGCGAAGGCGGUUCUCUGGGCCUUUCCUGACGCUGAGGAGCGAAAGCGUGGGGAGCGAACAGGCUUAGAUACCCUGGUAGUCCACGCUGUAAACGGUGGGUACUGGGUGUGGGGUCCAUUCCACGGGUUCCGUGCCGUAGCUAACGCUUUAAGUACCCCGCCUGGGGAGUACGGCCGCAAGGCUAAAACUCAAAGGAAUUGACGGGGCCCCGCACAAGCGGCGGAGCAUGCGGAUUAAUUCGAUGCAACGCGUAGAACCUUACCUGGGUUUGACAUGGAUCGGGAGUGCUCAGAGAUGGGUGUGCCUCUUUUGGGGUCGGUUCACAGGUGGUGCAUGGCUGUCGUCAGCUCGUGUCGUGAGAUGUUGGGUUAAGUCCCGCAACGAGCGCAACCCUUGUUCACUGUUGCCAGCACGUUAUGGUGGGGACUCAGUGGAGACCGCCGGGGUCAACUCGGAGGAAGGUGGGGAUGACGUCAAGUCAUCAUGCCCCUCAUGUCCAGGGCUUCACGCAUGCUACAAUGGCUGGUACAGAGAGUGGCGAGCCUGUGAGGGUGAGCGAAUCUCGGAAAGCCGGUCUCAGUUCGGAUUGGGGUCUGCAACUCGACCUCAUGAAGUCGGAGUCGCUAGUAAUCGCAGAUCAGCAACGCUGCGGUGAAUACGUUCCCGGGGCU